rfam:Nematostella vectensis strain CH2 x CH6 NEMVEscaffold_336_Cont24219, whole genome shotgun sequence.
GCCGUGAUCGUAUAGUGGUUAGUACAUUGCCUUGUGGCCGCAAUAACCCAGGUUCGAAUCCUGGUCACGGCA